UAGUUUCAAUAAGUUUGUGUACAUGUGAUGCUUUGAUGUUCAUAAUUAAGAAGCGAAAAAGAGUCUACUUUAGAUAUAUUUCAUGUGUGCUUCAUUGAUAAAUCUUAAGAAAGCAAUAUUAAUUUCUAGAUUGCUACUCCUUAUUCGAGAAUUAGUAGAUAAUAUUUAGAGACUUAUUGAGUAAUGUGGUGGAAUCUGUUAUCUUAGUUAAUUCGCAUCAAGGUAAUCUUUAUCUAUUUUAUUUGUCUUAACUACUUCACCAUCAACUUUCAUUCAAUUAGGUUAGUGUUAAAUUAAUUUGGAUUAGAUUAGUUUUUUCUAAUUUUCAUACAUUCCCUGUGGAUUUGACCUCGCUCUUGUAUAUCUGUACUGCAACUGAUUCGUGCGCUUAUAAGUAACAUUUUAAAACACAUCACCGCCAAGGUGCCGCCUUGACCUGCCUUGACCCUAUUCGGCCCUACUAGGCACACCUAGGGCAACCAAAGGGGUGCACAACCCACAUAGGGCCGCUAAGCGGCCGUCUUGACCCGCCCUGGCCUGACCACCUUAACCCUCUUAGGGCUGCCAAGAGGUUGCCUUAACCCUUCUAAGGCAACCAAGGGGCCGCCUUAACCCAGCUAGGGUAGCCAAGAGGCCGCCUUUACCCGUCUUGGCCCGCCUUGAUCUGCCUAGGGGUUGCCAAGACCCGCCUAGAGUCGCCAAGGGGCCGCCUUGACCCGCCUUGGCCCGACUUGGCCUGUCUUUACCCGUCUUGGACUGCCUUGCUGCCUUGACCCACCUUGUUCCGCCUUAGGCUGCCUUGACAUUCCUAGACCCGCCUAAGGUUGCCUUGACCCUCCUAGGCUGCCUAAGGCCACCAAGAAGCCGUCAUGACUCGCCAAGGGGUCGCCAUGACCCUCCUAGGCCCAUUUAGGGCUGUCUUAACCCGCCUAUGGCCGUCGAUGGGCCAUCUGAACCCACCUAGAGCAGCCAAGGGGUCGUCUUGACCCACCAAGGGGAUGCCUUUACACGCCUAGGGUUGUUUUGACCUCCCUAGGGGCCUUAUGGACCCAUCUUGACCCGCCUUGGCCCGCCAUGACUCGCCGUGACCCUCUUAGGCUCGUCUAGGGCCGCCUUGACCCUCCUAAAACCGGCUAGGGCCGCCUUGACCCUCCUAGACUGGCCAAGGGGCUGCCUUGACCCUCCUUGGACCGCCUUGGCCCACCUUGACCUGCCAUGACCCGCCUUGGACCGCCAUUACCCGCCUUGACCCUCCUAGGCCCUUCUAGGGCUGCCUUGACUCUCCCAGACCUGCCUUGACCCUCCUAGGACCACCAAGAAGCCGUCAUGACUCGCCAAGGGGUCGCCAUGACCCUUCUCAGCCAAUCUAGGGCCGCUAAGUGGCCCCCUUAACCCGCCUUGACCCACCUCGGCUUUGCUAGUCCCACGUUGGGCAGCCAAAGGGGAGCCAUGACCCACCUAUAGCCGCCAAGGGGCUACCUUUACACGCUUAGGGCUGUUUUGACCUCCCUAAGGCCGUUAUGGGCCUGUCUUGACCCGUCUAGGGGCUGCCUUGACCCUCCUAACCCGUCUAGGGCCACCAAGAAACCACCAUGACUCGCCAAGGGGUCGCCAUGACCCUCAUAGGCCGGUCUAGGGCCGCCAUAAUGACUUGGAUACAAUUCACGCAAACGAACUUAUUGUUGUCAAGAUAGGAAAGUAUUUGUGCCCAAGUUAUCGUACCACGGGAAUUAGUGGCUAACCCACAAUCCUAAGCUAAUCGGAACAAAAGUCACUAAGCAAACAAAGAAAAAGAAGAAAAAUGCUACUCUAAAGCACCAAGCCUUAGCAAUGCUCGGCUUCGGUUAUCACCAAAGCCUAAUCAAUACUAAAUGCCUAGUGAUGGGUAAUUACAAUGAGUUGAUAUAUAAAAUGGAGAUUGAAUGAGAAUUAAUUAAAUUGACGAAAAACUAAAUGAAAAAUAAACUACUGACUAAUGAACUAGAGAAUGAUGAGAACAUGGGAGUGUCGGGUGAUCCACACUAACUCAUAUGCAAACAACGAUACCAAUUUCACAAAUACAUAUCCUAUUGUAUCAAGUCCCGUAUCUAAUACCCGUUAAGGCUACUAGACCAAUUAUCCUUUCGGUGUAUCG
rnacentral:lncRNA from 1 species